UGAAUGCUGGAGUCAUAGAUGUUGCCUGG
rnacentral:piRNA from 1 species